GACGGAGGGUGCUAGCGUUGUUCGGAAUUACUGGGCGUAAAGGGCGCGUAGGCGGCUGCUCAAGUCGGGUGUGAAAGCCCGGGGCUCAACCCCGGAACGGCACCCGAGACUGGGCGGCUCGAGACCGGGAGAGGGUAGUGGAAUUCCCGGUGUAGUGGUGAAAUGCGUAGAUAUCGUAAGGAAGACCAGUGGCGAAGGCGGGUCUCUGGACAGUUCCUGACGCUGAGGAACGAAAGCCAGGGGAGCGAACGGG
rnacentral:rRNA from 1 species